AUCACUGGUGUUCGGGUUGUCAUGCCAAUGGCACUGCCCGGUAGCUAAAUGCGGAAGAGAUAAGUGCUGAAAGCAUCUAAGCACGAAACUUGCCCCGAGAUGAGUUCUCCCUGACCCUUUAAGGGGCCUGAAGGAACGUUGAAGACGACGACGUUGAUAGGCCGGGUGUGUAAGCGCAGCGAUGCGUUGAGCUAACCGGUACUAAUGAGCCGUGAGGCUUAACCUUACAACGCCGAAGGUGUUU
rnacentral:rRNA from 1 species